rnacentral:lncRNA from 1 species
GGCCACCCACCUGCUUACCCAACACCUGUACUGCAAGCCACAUAUCCAAGGAGGAGCCUCUCCCAGCUGAUCACAGUAAGCAGGCCAGAGGGAGUGAACUUCACCAGGUUCCCAGAUACCAAUCGCAGUCUCUCAGCUGAACCCAUCUAGAAUGCAUGGAAUCUGUGGAAGCCUUUGGAUUCACCCUUUGGAAGCCAGCAGCGAGAAGGUGUCACCUGAAAAACAAGGUGACAGCAUCAUCACCAUUGGGGGCAAGAAGCAGAUGCCAGGGUGCAGGGUAUGCUUCUCUCCAGCAUAUGCAGGCAUAUGGCAGAGCUCCAGUCUCUGGUAUGUGAGCCAGUGGUAAAUCUAUAUAAUAGCACAACCCUGUAGUAAAUGUUGGAUUCAGGCUGCUGUGCUAGUAUUCACUUUUUCACUGAAUCAUAACUGAAUGUGAGAACUUCCUUGCAUAUGCUGUUAUUUAACCCUCACUGGGAAGAAAUCUGUAAUCUUAGUGUGUCAAAUGAGAAAAUGUGCUCACAGGAGUUAAUUAAAAUUUACCCAAAAUAUUACAACUCUCACCCAAACCAAUGUCUUCAGUUUUGAACUUUCUGGGGUUUUGGAGUUGUUUGUUGUUCUUCUUCAGCUCCCCAAAUGAUUCUGAUAUUAGGGAGGGCUAAAAAUACUGCUUCAGGAAAAUGUAGUGAGUUCUGAGUCUCCUUACUCCCCCCAUGUUUCCCAACUUUCUAUUUUUCUACCAUUGUUUCCUGUGUUCCUUUUCCUAGAAGCUCCUGCAGCUCUCCAAAGGUUAGAUUCUCUUCGUAUGUUCUCAAACCAUCUAUAGUGGAGACAAGCCUGGAGCCAAUACAACAGCAUUCCCUGCCUGCCUCCCCCAUCCCAGACCCACACACUCUCAAUAGGCUUAAUUAAGUUCCCCCCACUCCAAUACACACUCACUGUUAGGAUGGCCAAGGACUGGGAGAAUGGUGCUGAUCACAGCUCCCAACUUGCUCUUGUAUCUCAGCUCAACCCCACCCUGCUCUUUGGUAAAGAAUAAAAAAGGUGCUGCAGCUGAGCUCCAUCACUAGGACCACAGCCCUAAUGACCUCAUUUAACUCCAGUGCCUCACCUCAUUCCCAGGUUCCUCCCACACCUUGAUUUUUAUGUUAGAAAUGAGAUAAUGAAUGGGGAGCCAGGUAGGGUAAUAUAUAACAAGAGCCUCUGGAUAUUAACAUUAUCCUCUG